GUGCUUUCAAAGACUUUUUCUCAACCCAGAAACAUGGUUCAGAAGGUGCUUUCAAAGACUUGUUCUUAACCCAGAAACAUCGUUCACAAGGUGCUUUCCAAGGUAUGAUUUCAAAACAAAAAAAGUAUUCUAAAAAGGUGCUUUUCAAAAACUUGAUCUCAAACCAAAAAAAAGGCUUGAAAGGUGUUUUCAAAAUCUUUCUCAAACCAAAUACAAGGUCCAAAAGGUGCUUUAAAAAUCUUGAUCUCAAACCAAAAAAGGCUUGAAAGGUGCUUUCAAAAUCUUUCUCAAACCAAAUACAAGGUCCAAAAGGUGCUUUCAAAGACUUGUUCUAAAAAAAAAAAGGGUUAAAAGGUGCUUUCAAAGACUUGUUCUCAAAAAAUGGGUUAAAAGGUGCUUUCAAAGACUUGUUCUCAAACCCAGAAACAUGAUUCAGAAGGUGCAAGGAAUGAUUUCAACAAAAAAAAAGGUUCUUAAAAAAAGGUGCUUUUCAAAAACUUGAUCUCAAACCAAAAACCAAAAUAGGUUCAAAAGGUGCUUUCAAAAUCUUUAUCUCAAACCAAAUACAAGGUCCAAAAGGUGCUUUAAAAAACUUGAUCUCAAACCAAAAACAAGGUUCUAACAAGGUGCUUUAAAAGACUUGUUCUCAAACCCAGAUACAUGGUUCCAAAGGUGCUUUCAAAGACUUGUUCUCAAACAAAAAAGGUUCAAAAGGUGCUUUCAAAGACUUUUUCUCAAAAAAAGGGUUUAAAAGGUGCUUUCAAAGACUUGUUCUCAAACAAAAAAGGUUCAAAAGGUGCUUUCAAAGACUUGUUCUAAAAAAAAAAAAAAGGGUUUAAAAGUUGCUUUCAAAGACUUGUUCUCAAACCCAGAAACAUGGUUCAGAAGGUGCUUUUCAAGGUAUGAUUUCAAACAAAAAAAAAGGUUCUUAAAAAAAGGUGCUUUUCAAAAACUUGAUCUCAAACCAAAAACCAAAAUAGGUUCAAAAGGUGCUUUCAAAUCCUGAUCUCAAAC